UUAAAAAAAUAUGUAUCCUUUCUCUUCCACGGCUCCAAUUCCUUGCUUCCAUAACUGAACUCUAGCCCUCCUUAGAACCGUUCACCGUCUACCCUUUAACAAACACUUCAACAGAAAAAAAAAAAAUCCCAAAAUCUUUCUCAUGUUAAUCUUUUCUUUACAUCAUGCCCUCCCUUCACCUUCUCCUUUGCUAUCUCCUCUCUCUUCUCACCAUCUCCUUCGCUCACUCCCCACGAGGUUCUCUUAGGUACUUAUAUUGAUUGCGGUGCUCUUUUGGGAUCGACAAUCAACGGAAUCCGAUGGCUCCCCGAUACCGACGACAUCUCGUGUGGGAUCCCCAAGAACCUCUCCACUACCGCCACCGAAGCAACUCUCUCCACCGUCCAUUCAUUUCCCAACGAACUCCACGGUAUAUUUUGUUACGAAUUUCCUGUGUUUCGCGGGGCGAGGUUCAUGGUCAGGACUACGUACUACUACGGAGAGGUCAACGGCAAGGGUCCUCCUCCGGUGUUCGAUCAGAUGGUGGACGGAACUUUCUGGAGCGUGGUCAGCACGACUGCGGAGUACGAGCAAGGUUUGUCGUCAUAUUAUGAGGGAGUCUUUUUGGCUCAUGGAAAGACUAUGAGUGUGUGUAUCGGGUUAAAUAAUUAUACGGACUUCGACCCGUUUAUUUCAGCUUUGGAGCUUGUGAUUCUGGAAGCUUCUGUUUAUAACGCUACGGAUUUUAGCAAGUAUGUGCUCAGUUUGGUUUCCAGGCAUAGCUUUGGCUACAAUGGGACUCACAACAUCAAACAUCCUGAUGACAAAUUCAAUCGAUAUUGGGAGCCAUUUGGAGACAAUGCCCAUAUGGUAGCUGACAACAAAAUGUAUCUGUUUCUGGUUUCUGGAAUCUUCCACUGAAGAAAAUAUUUGAAAUUGCAUUGGCAACUGGCCCAGAAAACUCCAUGGAAUUGCUAUGGCCCUCAGUGUUACUUGCAAAGUCAAGAAACUAUAUUGCGCUAUAUUUUGCAGAUAAUCCUGAUUCUUCCUCACUUGGGGCCUAAAGGAUGUUUACAUUAUUAUAAAUCAUGUACCACUCUGCAGAAACCUGAGUGUGAAACCAGAUGGUGCUGUUAUCUUUUCCCAACAAUGGCCUCUUGAAGGUGCCACCAAUAUUACUUUGAUUCCUGUUGCGGGUUCAAAUAAAGGUCCUCUGAUCAAUGGUGGAGAGAUCUUUAAUGUGUUGGACAUUGGAAGAAGAACUCUCACACAAGAUGAAAUUUGACAAAUAUGGGCCUGUUGGGAACAUUGUCACCCAAUAUUUCCAGAUAGUUAGCUCUGAAUAGCAUGUUGUCUGGAAUGAUUCCUGAUCUCAGUUCCUUAACAAAGCUGGGGAAGUUGCUUUUGGAAGACAAUCGAUUCAGUGGAGAGAUUAAAAAAUCCCUUGGAAACAUCACAGGCUUGCGUGAACUGUAAGUCGUGCUCUCACAUAUGCAAUUAAUGAUUUCUCUACUCUGACUACUUAAACCUUACUUUAGUCUUACAUAAAAGUAUCAAAAUGCAGGAAUUUAAUGCAUAAAACCUGUUUGGUCUAUGGUAUAUUUAUAGGUCUUUUAUGCCUGACUUCUUUAUUAAAACUACAGAAUCCUCAAGUAGUGUUUCUGAUCAAAGUAUUUGGGAAGUAUUGAUCUUCCACAGCUAAAUUUGGGUUUAUUUAAAUAAUGGGAUUCUUUCUUGAAACAUAGCGAGACUUUCAGUUAGUAUCUAGAAUCACUUUAAUGAUACAGGGAAUAUAUAUAAAAUCUCCGAUUGUAUCUCUUCACAUUUUGUAGAUAAGCUUUUGAUGCAAGGUUGGACAAAUGCCUAUACACCUCUUUUGCAUUUCUUUUAUGCCCACUGUAUAUGCCUGUAUGACUUUCAUACCAAGGUUUCAGCAGCUAUGCUAAAUCAUAUUGUUUAUUGGUAAAAGAAGCACACUCACCUACAUGGAACAUUAAAACUAAUGGCUGAAUGUAUACAAGCCUUUUUCACGAGGUGGUAACUACUUUAUGGAAAUCAGGACCUGCCUCAGUCAAUGGGAGUUGAUUUUUUGCAUUCUAUCAUUUUCCAGCCCAAGUGGACAGUGUUUCAGCUUUUCUGGCAAUUAUACAAAAAUAAGGUGCCCUUUUAUUAGUGCUCCAGAUAAUAGUAUGUCUGAGCCUUUAUCUCAUACAGCAGAAACAAUAGAUUACAUAUAGACCCCUUAUGAGCCAAUGCUUCACAUUGGAACUUUUAGAUCAUCAUGUCAUAAUUGAUUUUUAUAUACAGAAGCUUCAUAAUGGGUUGGUAUGUUGGGGAAUUUUCAGGACAUUGUCCGAACAAGUUUUUCUUGGGAAUGAUGUUAGCAAAUUGAUGUCUGUUCAUAGGGAUAUAAAUUGCCAAAUGAAUAUUGCAGGAUUACCAUCUACAAGUCUAGUUUGUUUGUGUAGAACAGCUACCAGUUUACUUUGUAAGAUCCAUGCUUUGUUAUCUGAGAGAAUGAUUCUGACAGGUUUAAAUUUUAGUCUUUCACGUCCUUUUAUUCAUUUAUUUACAUUAAGUCCAUUCCUUUCUCUGUUCUUAUUGUUGAUGCUUUUUACAAUAUAUUUCAGAUGCAGACUUGUUUUUUUCAAUUUUUUAUAUUGCCAGAUCAUAUUUUUCCAAUUAUUGCCUUGCAUGACAACACAAUUGGAAGGUUGUUUGGAGCAUCUCUUUGCCAUCUGGAGUUUUGUACUGGAUUGUCGAGUGGAAACUAUGAUUAGAUUCUUCAUGUAUCUGACAGAGUUCCUUUUGUCUUUCAGAUUCUUACAAAACAACAAUUUGACUGGUCAAAUCCCAAGUAGCAUCCUUAGAACAGCUGGAAUAAACCUUAAGUGAGAGACUUCUCCUGGAAAUCAACUUUCUUCUCCACCACCAUCUUGAGCAAAUGACUACGUUCACUAUCAAGAUGACAGCAUUGUAUUUUUCGAGGAACUUGAUUUCAACAACUUGUGUGUGAAUCUCUAUUAACUACAUGCCAUAACAGUUGGUUCUGACAUUUUUUUUUACCUUGCACAAAAUUUGGAAUUUAAUUCUCAUGCUUAGCUUUCUCUAGUUUGACCAUGUAAAAGUUCAUGAAUGCAAUUUGGAGCCUCUAUAAUUGUAUACUUAUAAUUCUUGUCCAUAUGUGGUCAGUUUGGAAAUUUUUUUUUUUUUUUUGGCUUGGCAUAAAUGGGUCUUGUUUUCGGAUCGUAAUUCACAAUUGUCUCUGUGGAGAUAUUUUUUAAUUUUAUAUUUAAUGUUAUUUUUUAUGUUUAUGUUACAAGUAUAGGAUUGUACAAUGUAUGCCCCAUAUGAUGUAGCUAUAUUUUGUUUUUUUAAUAGCUUCACAGAUUGCAAGCAAAUAUAAGCAUUUACCUGACUUCUUUUUUUUUUUUUUUUAAAUCUCAAUUUCUUCUGCUGCCACCUGAUCGACACUUGAUCAUCUGACUUACACGUCGAUUAAAUUUUGUGAAAUCUGGUUCUGAAAUUUUGUUCAACCCUCUAAAUGUGCUUCAUCUGUAAGUAAGGUUGUGGGUGUUUGAAAUUCUCUGCUAUUGAAGGGAGCUCCAUUGUCACCUGACAAAUCCACUACCAUUUCAUUCAAAAUGGUGGCAAAAAGCUGUUACAUUUGAACUUGUGGCUUUUAAGUGAACUGAAUAGUUGGGUUGGCCACUGGCAGGAGCUUGCACUUACAACAAAGGGGUUUGAAGGUCUUAAACGAGUUGAAGAUGUUUUACUCAGUCGUGCAAAAGAGUAGAUCGAGGUCCCUCACCUUUACAGAAAGAGAAGAGAAAUUGAGCUGUAUGGUCAGACUAACACAAGCAUAGUCCACCUAUCCCCCAUUUACUUAUUUCCUUUUUGGGAAAGGAUAUCUUCCUUUCUGAUUUAUAAUAGAGACUCAGAGCAUACGGUUGCCAAACCUUUCUCUUCUACCCAAAAUAAUUCAUCAUGCAUUAGUGCAAACUGCUAACCGCAUUGAUCAGAUUCUUCUGCCUGUGGCUUGUAGGACCCCAUGAUUCAGAAUCGCUGCAUAUGCAUGUGGCAUGACUACUCACACACUUACGCCUAUCAGUGACAGCCAUAGAAAUGCUGUUUCCAUUAACAAAUGAAAAGAAAA